ncrna:unclassified sequences skipping-rope RNA
AGAACUAGAGGACGGAACGGGCAGCCGUCACCGGAUAGCCGCAAGGCUUGAUUAGGAGAUGUGGGAGACGUCACCCCACCUAAUUCU